CCCUAUUCCAAAGGUCCAGUCAAAACCAGUCAUAUCCUCACACAGUUCCUCAAAACAUGGGAAUCCAUCCUUGACACACUCAACAUAUAUCAAAAACACACAUAGUACAUCCAUCCCUGGGUCAGCUAACACUUCCUCUCUCUCCGGCUAACUCUACAAAAAUAGAAAUAGUUCAAUAGUUCAGCAUAGUUCAGAAAAAUAGAAUAAGUUUUCACAGAGUAU